rnacentral:rRNA from 1 species
UACGUAGGGGGCGAGCGUUAUCCGGAUUUAUUGGGCGUAAAGCGUGUGUAGGCGGUUUAUUAAGUUUAAGAUUAAAGUCCGAGGCUUAACCUCGGUUCGUCUUAAAAACUGGUAGACUUGAGUGUAGUAGAGGCAAGUGGAAUUUCUAGUGUAGCGGUUAAAUGCGUAGAUAUUAGAAGGAACACCAGUGGCGAAGGCGGCUUGCUGGGCUAUUACUGACGCUGAGACACGAAAGCGUGGGGAGCAAAUAGG